UACGGGGGGGCAAGCGGUUGUUCGGAAUUACUGGGCGUAAAGGGCUCGUAGGCGGCCAACUAAGUCAGACGUGAAAUCCCUCGGCUUAACCGGGGAACUGCGUCUGAUACUGGAUGGCUAGAGAUUGGGAGAGGGAUGGCGGAAUUCCAGGUGUAGCGGUGAAAUGACGUAGAUAUCUGGAGGAACACCGGUGGCGAAGGCGGCAUCCUGGACCAACACUGACGCUGAGGAGCGAAAGCCAGGGGAGCAAAGCGGG
rnacentral:rRNA from 1 species